ACCUACGGGAGGCAGCAGUAGGGAAUCUUCCACAAUGGGCGAAAGCCUGAUGGAGCAACGCCGCGUGAGUGAAGAAGGGUUUCGGCUCGUAAAGCUCUGUUGGUAGUGAAGAAAGAUAGAGGUAGUAACUGGCCUUUAUUUGACGGUAAUUACUUAGAAAGUCACGGCUAACUACGUGCCAGCAGCCGCGGUAAUACGUAGGUGGCAAGCGUUGUCCGGAUUUAUUGGGCGUAAAGCGGGUGCAGGCGGUUUUAUAAGUGUGAUGGU
rnacentral:rRNA from 1 species